UACGUAGGGCGCGAGCGUUGUCCGGAAUUAUUGGGCGUAAAGAGCUCGUAGGCGGCCUGUUGCGUCCGCUGUGAAAUCCCGGGGCUUAACCCCGGGCGUGCAGUGGAUACGGGCUGGCUGGAGGCAGGCAGGGGAGAACGGAAUUCCCGGUGUAGCGGUGAAAUGCGCAGAUAUCAGGAGGAACACCAAUGGCGAAGGCAGCACUCUGGGACGUGACUGACGCUGAGGAGCGAAAGCAUGGGGAGCGAACAGG
rnacentral:rRNA from 1 species